AAGUCGUAACAAGGUUUCCGUAGGUGAACCUGCGGAAGGAUCAUUACCGUUCCAUCUUCAACUCGCCGCAGGACCCCACGCAAGUGGCCAGAAAUGCGGUGAGGCGAAGCCACCCUUGCCUAUGAGUACCUUUUGUUCCCUCGGCGGGCUCGCGCCCGUCGCAGGGCCCAACCAAAACCCCUUUGCAGUAGCAGUAUACCUCUGAUUGUGGGCACUUGAAUCUUUACAACUUUCAACAACGGAUCUCUUGGUUCUG
rnacentral:misc_RNA from 1 species